GAUGAAGAACGUAGCAAAAUGCGAUAAGUAAUGUGAAUUGCAGAAUUCAGUGAAUCAUCGAAUCUUUGAACGCACAUUGCGCCCGCCAGUAUUCUGGCGGGCAUGCCUGUUCGAGCGUCAUUUCAACCCUCAAGCACAGCUUGGUGUUGGGACUCGCGUUAAUUCGCGUUCCUCAAAUUGAUUGGCGGUCACGUCGAGCUUCCAUAGCGUAGUAGUAAAACCCUCGUUACUGGUAAUCGUCGCGGCCACGCCGUUAAACCCCACCUUCUGAAUGUUGACCUCGGAUCAGGUAGGAAUACCCGCUGAACUUAAGCAUAUCAAUAAGCGGAGGA
rnacentral:misc_RNA from 1 species